rnacentral:rRNA from 1 species
CUACGGGUGGCUGCAGUGAGGAAUAUUUCACAAUGGGGGGAACCCUGAUGCAGCAACGCCGCGUGGAGGAUGACGCAUUUCGGUGUGUAAACUCCUUUUAUAUGUCAAGAAAAUGACGGUAGCAUAUGAAUAAGCACCGGCUAACUCCGUGCCUGCAGCCGCGGUAAUACGGAGGGUGCAAGCGUUACUCGGAAUCACUGGGCGUAAAGGACGCGUAGGCGGGUUGGAAAGUCAGGUGUGAAAUCCUACAGCUUAACUGUAGAACUGCACUUGAAACUUCUAAUCUAGAGUAUGGGAGGGGGAGAUGGAAUUAGUGGUGUAGGGGUAAAAUCCGUAGAUAUCACUAGGAAUACCUAAAGCGAAGGCGAUCUCCUGGAACAUUACUGACGCUAAGGCGUGAAAGCGUGGGGAGCAAACAGGAUUAGAUACCCGCGUAGUC